rnacentral:misc_RNA from 1 species
AACGCACGAGACCUGCGGACCUGCGGAAGGAUCAUUAGUGAACGCCCUCACGGGCUUAUAACUAUUCCAAACCUCUGUGAACCGUGCCCUUCGGGGCUAUUUUACAAACAUGGUGUAAUGAACGUCAUAUAUCAUAGCAAAACAAAACUUUUAACAAUGGAUCUCU